rnacentral:lncRNA from 1 species
UUACCUGCGCAGAGCAAAAUCGGUUGUAGAUUAUAUCCACGAAAAUUCCUUCUAUUAAAAUGAAUUUCAAGUCCCACCUACCCUGGAAGCAGAAAGAGAGAGAAGAGAGAGAGUAAAGAGAAAGAGAAAAGAAAGAGAAGUUGAAAAAGAGAAAGAAAACCAAGAAAGAAAGAGAAAAAAACCGAAAAUAAAUGGACAAGAAAGAAAAACGGUGAAGGUCAACCCUGUGCUCAAUUCCAGAGACUUUCCUAGGGACAUCGUGUUGGGCAUGGAGGACUAAGGCCAGUGUGAAGAUAAGUCACCGAUUCUUUAAAAAAAAAAAGCCAGUAACUUAUAAAAAUAGCCAUAAACGACGUAGUUUUUUGUUGUUGUUGUUGUUUUGAGACAGCGUCUCCCUCUGUCCCCCAGGCGGGAGUACAGUGGCAGGCACUCAGCUCACUGUAACCUCCGCCUCCUGGGUUCAAGUGAUUCUCUUGCCCCAGCCUCCAGAGUAGCCACCACGCCCGGUCCAACUUAGUUUUUUAAUACUUUUUAAAAUUUUAAGACAGGGUCUCUGCCACCGAGGCUGAAAUGCAGUGGCGCAAUCAUAGCUCACUGCAACCUUGACUUCCUGGGGUCCUGGGCAGGUGACCCCCUGUCUCAGCCUGCCGAGUAGCUGUGAGUAAAGGCCUGUGCCUCUCCACUGUGCUAAUUUUCUACUGUUUGUUGCUUUGUUUUUAAUAGAGAUGUAGUCUGGUUUUGUUGCCCAGGCUGGUCUCCAGCUUCUAGCCUCAAGCAGUCUUCCCAUCUGCUCCUACCAAAGUGCUCGGAUUAUAGGCAUGAAUCACCUUGCAUGGGAGAUAAGGACCCCCACAUCAAGCCCUCAGGUCACUGGGAUCCUGGACUACGGCACUGCUCCAGGCAGGCCUGGUUAUCCUGCUUGAGGCAGCAAUCCUCUUGAGCCUAGUGAAAUGCAACUGGCUGUACCUCAAUGAUGUUGCCCUGAGAUUCUGCCAGUCGAGGCCAACGUGCCAUGCAUCCCUGGAGCAUGAAACCCAGGAUGGGCCGCCUUCCAGCCUCCCACAGCUGUGAUGCAAGUUGAACACAUACAGAGAGACUGCAUCUGCACUGGGUGGUUUUCCUGAGCCUUGGGGAGCAGAAUGCAUGAAUCCCAGGUAUCUGCCGAUCUGUAUGUAACAAAUUCACUUCAUGUAACUUACUGUGUGUCCGUGAGAUUAUCUCUCACUCAACUCAGACACAUUGGCAACCAGUGUGCAGUGAACCUGCUUCACAAGCAAGGAUGUGGAGAAACUAUUUUCGUACAUUUUGUGGGAAUCUGAAAUACUGCGGUCAGUAUGGAAAGCAGUAUCAUGGGAAACUUCCUCAACUCAAGAUCACCUACCAAUCCUUACAGAAUCAGAAUCAUCAUACAAACUGGUGAAAGCAUAGUUUCCCCUAGAGGUUGGGAUGAGGGCAAGAAUGUCCCCUC